rnacentral:tRNA from 1 species
AAGGGAAUUAUAAAAUUUAGCUGCUAACUAAAUUAAGAGCAAACUUAUUGUUCAUCCCUUA